rnacentral:rRNA from 1 species
GAUGAACGCUAGCUACAGGCCUAACACAUGCAAGUCGCGGGGCAGCAUGGGGGUUGCUUGCAACCCCUGAUGGCGACCGGCGCACGGGUGAGUAACGCGUAUCCAACCUGCCCUUCAUCACUGGAUAACCCGGCGAAAGUCGGAUUAAUACCGAAUGUUGUCCAUUGACGGCAUCCGAUUUGGACGAAAGGUUUGGCGGUGAAAGGAUGGGGAUGCGUCCGAUUAGCUUGAUGGCGGGGUAACGGCCUACCGUGGCUACGAUCGGGAGGGGGUCGGAGAGGAAGGUCCCCCACAAUUGAGAUGAGGCACAGACCAGACUCCGACGGGAGGGAGCAGUAACGUAUGUUAGGCAAGGGGCGUAAGCCUGAACCAGCCGAGUAGCGUGCAAGAGGACGGGGCUAUGGGUUGUAAACUGCUUUUAUGGGGGGAUAAAGUGGCCAACGUGGGGGCUUUUGCAGGUACCGCAUGAAUAAGGACCGGCUAAUUCCGUG